CAUUUAAGAAAGCAGCAGGCUUGAAGUAUGGGUCAUGUUGUUUUGUCUUUUUCCACCCAUCGUUUGCCACAUCCGCUCUCCUAAAACCAUAUUCCUUGGUUUCUAGGAUGAGGAACCCACUGGCCUUAAUGCAAUGCAGUGAUCCUUCUUCUUUAGCAAGCACCCUUCUUAGCCCCAGGAACCUACCAAGUAACUACUAUAAGGAGAAGAUGCUUCUGAGGUGAGAAAAAAUAAGGUUAAAGUGCAAACAGCCUGACAAGUGAAACAGAAAAUUUUCCAGUUUUAAUGGAGCAUCUGGAGCACAAAGAGACUGAGUAACCUCAAUUAUAAACCAGCUCCUAACAGCAAGCCUAGAAACCACUGUCAGCUUGUCUAUUGCCCUAUGAUCUCUCAAGAAAAAUGGGUACCCUCAAAAUGUACACAUUUGGAAGUACUUUUGUUAGACCUAAAUAGAGUUUGGAGAGAUCUCGAGUCAAGAUGGCGGCAUAGGCAGACUCUGAACUCACCUUCCC